UACGAAGGGGGCUAGCGUUGUUCGGAUUUACUGGGCGUAAAGCGCACGUAGGCGGAUCGUUAAGUCGGGGGUGAAAUCCUGGAGCUCAACUCCAGAACUGCCUUCGAUACUGGCGAUCUCGAGUCCGGAAGAGGUGAGUGGAACUCCUAGUGUAGAGGUGGAAUUCGUAGAUAUUAGGAAGAACACCAGUGGCGAAGGCGGCUCACUGGUCCGGUACUGACGCCGAGGUGCGAAAGCGUGGGGAGCAAACAGG
rnacentral:rRNA from 1 species